rnacentral:lncRNA from 1 species
GAUAGUGUCGCGGUUUGUUCUUCUCAUGGAGGAAACAGGGGCGUGGCCAAGUACGGCCCCUCGAAUCGUGAUGUGGAGCCGGAAAGGGUGGUUGGUAGGUUAAGUGUUUUAAGCCCGACUGCUCCCUUGGGAGGGCAGUCUGUUUAUGAUUGUAAUUCUCUUCCUACAACUGUACCGUCGGUAGACCGACCUUCGUUUAUGGCGGAUGCUAUUCAUUCUUCAUCGGGUCGGGGAGGUCAUCGAGGUUCAGU